rnacentral:lncRNA from 1 species
GCAAGAUACACAUGUUUCAUUUUUUUCUGUGCACAUUUCCCUCCUGCAGGUAUUUUCACAUAAUUAUCAUUUGCAUAUUUCAUGCAUUAUAAAUGUCUUCCUAAUGUGUACUGUCUCUGUAGCACAGUGCAGCUCUUACUUCAUCCUAGUAUCAGCUAUUACCUCCCUUGUUAGUAACCCAGCCAGCUAGGGUUCAAUCCCAGCUUUCUAAUAAAACUUUUGCAGAUUUGUUAUGUUUCAUAUCCCAUAGUACCACUUUCCUGUCAUGUGACCAUAAAAAGCACAUGUGGUACUGGGACCCCAUGCUUCAGUGUGUUAGCAGCCUCCAUACCGUCAAGAGGUCUCCUCUGACUGUUAAUAUUAAUGUAGCACACAGGAACACAAAUUUUUACAAACCUCAUCCACUCAUCCACUCAUCAACUCGACUAUUUAUCUUUUCACACUAUGGCUAACGACCAACGUCCAACGUGUAUCUUACAUUUGUACGUGUCACCGUAUAUCAACGCAUAACGUACCAUCGUUUACCAUCAACGAAUAAAACCCUGUGGAUGCGAG